rnacentral:rRNA from 1 species
GUGCCAGCAGCCGCGGUAAAACGUAGGAGGCAAGCGUUAUCCGGAUUCACUGGGCGUAAAGCGCGUGCAGGCGGUUCGGUAAGUUGGGCGUGAAAUCUCCUGGCUUAACUAGGAGAGGUCGUCCAAUACUACCGGGCUAGAGAGUGGUAGAGGAAGAUGGAAUUCCCGGUGUAGUGGUGAAAUGCGUAGAUAUCGGGAGGAACACCAGUGGCGAAAGCGAUCUUCUGGACCAUUUCUGACGCUCAGACGCGAAAGCUAGGGUAGUAAACGGGAUUAGAGACCCCGGUAAUCCUAGCCGUAAACGAUGUAGACUUGGCGUCGGUGGCUUAAACUCCAUCGGUGCCGUAGCAAACGCGAUAAGUCUACCGCCUGGGGACUACGAUCGCAAGAUUAAA